UACGAAGGGGGCUAGCGUUGCUCGGAAUCACUGGGCGUAAAGCGCACGUAGGCGGAUUGUUAAGUCAGGGGUGAAAUCCUGGAGCUCAACUCCAGAACUGCCUUUGAUACUGGCGAUCUCGAGUCCGGGAGAGGUGAGUGGAACUGCGAGUGUAGAGGUGAAAUUCGUAGAUAUUCGCAAGAACACCGGUGGCGAAGGCGGCAUCCUGGACCGGCAUUGACGCUGAGGCGCGAAAGCCAGGGGAGCAAACGGG
rnacentral:rRNA from 1 species